GACGAACGCUGGCGGCGUGCUUAACACAUGCAAGUCGAGCGGUAAGGCCCUUUCGGGGUACGACGAGCGGCGAACGGGUGAGUAACACGUGGGUGACCUGCCCUCAGCUCUGGGAUAAGCCUGGGAAACCGGGUCGUAAUACUGGAUAUGACUCCAUGACGCAUGUUGUGGGGUGGAAAGCCUUGUGCGGCUGAGGAUGGGCCCG
rnacentral:rRNA from 1 species